GCUGUAGGCUCAACACAGGGCACUCACAGUGACAGAAAUAGAUUGGUCUCAUCACUGCUUUAUUUUAGUUCCUGAUAGUUUAUACCAUUUACAAGUUUUCAUUUAUUCGAUUUCUUAUGGAGUGCAUUGCUGCAAAGUGCACAAUUAGGAAGUCUUCCUUGCCACCUGUGAUAUAGUCUUGUUUAUCAUUUAGGUGCUGUUAGGUGAGAUUUCUGGUGAAUUUGUCUUGAACUUGCCUACUAAAGUUGAUCUGUUGGAUUUACAAUUUGUAUGAUUCACUAUGAAUUCUAAAUAACCUAACAGAUAUAGACUGAUUUUUUUUUUUUUUCUUUUAUUCUAAAUCAGGUACAACUUUAUACAUAUCAAGUAUGAGAUCCUUCUUGCAUUUAAUAGAUUUUUAGGGGCCUAGCUUUUAUUCACAGUUUACCUGAGGUUUGUCAUAGGGAUGUGAAGCCUCAAAAUAUUCUUGUGGAUCCUCUCACCCACCAGGUCAAGCUUUGUGAUUUUGGAAGUGCAAAAAUUCUGGUCAAGGGAGAAGCAAACAUAUCAUACAUAUGCUCUCGCUACUACCGGGCUCCAGAGCUUAUAUUUGGAGCAACCGAAUAUACUACGUCAAUUGAUGUAUGGUCAGCUGGUUGUGUUCUUGCUGAAGUGCUUCUUGGCCAGGAGAAAUGCCAUAAGCACAAAACCAGUGUUGCAAACUGAAGCUGUACACAAUGGUCUAGGAGCAGGCAAUACUGUUGGAUCUUCAAGUAGCUGGCUUCAAUCAUUGCAACGCAAUUCAUCAGCCAAAUAAUUGGUAGGGGCACUCUUAUCUGAUUCAAACUCUCUCUUCAAAAAUAUCCUGCAUUGUGCUUUAGAAGACUAUAUGAUUAUCUGCUGGAGCUGUAAACAGGGACCUGAUCCCAACUGGAUUAUUCAUUGGACCCAUAUCUGGGUAUGAGUUGGACCAGGUCUGUGGGUCAUGGGAUCAACCCAACCCAUUGAUUCUCUAGGGGUGCAACUGGGUCUGAUCUAGGCAAAUCAGAUAUGCAGAUAUGACCCUGGUCCAACACAAUUUGAUAUUAGGGUUGUCCCAGGACCCACAGGAACUAUCUGAACAUAAGGUGCGUGUUGUAUUUUUUAAUCCUUUUGUGCUUAAUGUGCUUUAUGUUUGAUGCUUGGAUUGUAACCUUGUACUGAACCUGCUUUGAUUGCCUUGUAUUAAAAUAAUGUAUCCCCCUUUUUUGUAGUGAUAAUUUAUUUUUUACUUUACCAGCUUGUGGUUUUUGCCAUCUGCAAUUUAAAUGGGAUUCACAAUGUAGAAGGCGAAAAGAAUCAUGAUGCCUACUUAUCACAUGCACUUUUUGAUGCGCACCUUACUCCUCUGGGCUGGGACCAGGU